AUGCUAUGAUUUGGACAUCUUUGCAGCAACAAUUUCAAUCUCACCCAUGUAUCAGAUAAGGACUCAUCAUCACCAUGUUCAAAAUUUGAAAUCUCAGCUCUUCAUUC